rnacentral:rRNA from 1 species
CCUACGGGAGGCAGCAGUGAGGAAUAUUGGUCAAUGGGCGCGAGCCUGAACCAGCCAAGUAGCGUGAAGGAUGACUGCCCUACGGGUUGUAAACUUCUUUUAUAAGGGAAUAAAGUGCGGCACGUGUGCCGUUUUGUAUGUACUUUAUGAAUAAGGAUCGGCUAAUUCCGUGCCAGCAGCCGCGGUAAUACGGAGGAUCCGAGCGUUAUCCGGAUUUAUUGGGUUUAAAGGGAGCGUAGAUGGGUUGUUAAGUCAGUUGUGAAAGUUUGCGGCUCAACCGUAAAAUUGCAAUUGAUACUGGGAGUCUUGAGUACAGUUGAGGUAGGCGGAAUUCGUGGUGUAGCGGUGAAAUGCUUAGAUAUCACGAAGAACUCCGAUUGCGAAGGCAGCUUACUAGACUGCAACUGACGUUGAGGCUCGAAAGUGUGGGUAUCAAACAGGAUUAGAUACCCCAGUAGUC